rnacentral:rRNA from 1 species
UACGGAGGGUGCAAGCGUUAUCCGGAUUCACUGGGUUUAAAGGGUGCGUAGGUGGGCAGGUAAGUCAGUGGUGAAAUCUCCGGGCUUAACCCGGAAACUGCCGUUGAUACUAUUUGUCUUGAAUAUUGUGGAGGUAAGCGGGAUAUGUCAUGUAGCGGUGAAAUGCUUAGAUAUGACAUAGAACACCAAUUGCGAAGGCAGCUUACUACACAAUGAUUGACACUGAGGCACGAAAGCGUGGGGAUCAAACAGG